UACGUAGGGUGCGAGCGUUGUCCGGAAUUAUUGGGCGUAAAGGGCUCGUAGGCGGUUUGUCACGUCGGGAGUGAAAACUCAGGGCUUAACCCUGAGCCUGCUUCCGAUACGGGCUGACUAGAGGUAUGCAGGGGAGAACGGAAUUCCUGGUGUAGCGGUGAAAUGCGCAGAUAUCAGGAGGAACACCGGUGGCGAAGGCGGGUCUCUGGGCCGUAACUGACGCUGAGGAGCGAAAGCGUGGGGAGCGAACAGG
rnacentral:rRNA from 1 species